rnacentral:lncRNA from 12 species
UUUUAAUCUCUGUUGGAUGGUGGAAGCAAGGGGUUUGCUUCCUUAACCAUGCACUCUCCUGUUUCCUAGUGAAAAACAAGCUUUCCUAGGAAAGCUUCUCGUGCUGCAGCACAGAAAGGAAGAAAAUCUGUCUGCCAUUAUAUGCUGAUACAAUUAAACACAUGAGCUGGCUCGCAUUGACAUGGCUUGGCUGCAAGUCAAGAAGCACUAAGGAAGACAGUACAUCUCUGUGUGAACUAAGGAGAGGCUGCAGACUAUUUCAGGUCAUUUGGCUUCAUCACUGAAACGUCCACCCCUCCUUCAGCAGGGGAGGAGGGCAGAAAAAGGCAGAGAUACAUGGAGGAAGUUACAUCUACUGAAACUGGAGCCACUUCAGAGAAGUAGCUGUGCUAGAGAUGAGUGCUGGCGCUGCGCUUGAAAUUGCUGAAAAGAAGGAAAUUCUUUACAGACUUCAAAGGUAUGUGUUGAUUUAAAAU